rnacentral:tRNA from 1 species
ACCUGGCUGGCUCAGUCAGUAGAGCAUGUGACCCUUGAUCUCGGGGUUGUGAGUUCGAGCCCCAUGUUGGGUC